rnacentral:lncRNA from 1 species
AAUGAAGACAACAAAAAAAAAAAAAGUGUUAACCUGUCCAUCGCACUUGGGCUCUGGUCAAAAGUAGUGCACUAUAUAGGGAAUAGGGUGCCACCCUGGUCAAACGUAGUGCACUAUAUAGGGAAUAGGGUGCCACCCUGGUCAAACGUAGUGCACUAUUUAGGGAAUAGGGUGCCACCCUGGUCAAACGUAGUGCACUAUAUAGGGAAUAGGGUGCCACCCUGGUCAAACGUAGUGCACUAUACAGGGAAUAGGGUGCCACCUUGGUUAAAAGUAGUGCACUAUAUAGGGAAUAGGGUGCCACCCUGGUCAAACGUAGUGCACUAUACAGGGAAUAGGGUGCCACCCUGGUCAGAAGUAGUGCACUAUAUAGGGAAUAGGGUGCCACCCUGGUCAAACGUAGUGCACUAUAUAGGGAAUAGGGUGCCACCCUGGUCAAAAGUAGUGCACUAUAUAGGGAAUAGGGUGCCACCCUGGUCAAAAGUAGUGCACUAUAUAGGGAAUAGGGUGCCACCCUGGUCAAACGUAGUGCACUAUUUAGGGAAUAGGGUGCCACCCUGGUCAAACGUAGUGCACUAUUUAGGGAAUAGGGUGCCACCCUGGUCAAACGUAGUGCACUAUACAGGGAAUAGGGUGCCACCUUGGUUAAAAGUAGUGCACUAUAUAGGGAAUAGGGUGCCACCCUGGUCAAACGUAGUGCACUAUACAGGGAAUAGGGUGCCACCUUGGUUAAAAGUAGUGCACUAUAUAGGGAAUAGGGUGCCACCCUGGUCAAACGUAGUGCACUAUAUAGGGAAUAGGGUACCACCCUGGUCAAACAUAGUGCACUAUACAGGGAAUAGGGUGCCACCUUGGUUAAAAGUAGUGCACUAUAUAGGGAAUAGGGUGCCACCCUGGUCAAACUUAGUGCACUAUAUAGGGAAUAGGGUGCCACCCUGGUCAAACGUAGUGCACUAUUUAGGGAAUAGGGUGCCACCCUGGUCAAACGUAGUGCACUAUACAGGGAAUAGGGUGUCACCUUGGUUAAAAGUAGUGCACUAUAUAGGGAAUAGGGUGCCACCCUGGUCAAACGUAGUGCACUAUACAGGGAAUAGGGUGCCACCUUGGUUAAAAGUAGUGCACUAUAUAGGGAAUAGGGUGCCACCCUGGUCAAACGUAGUGCACUAUAUAGGGAAUAGGGUACCACCCUGGUCAAACAUAGUGCACUAUACAGGGAAUAGGGUGCCACCUUGGUUAAAAGUAGUGCACUAUAUAGGGAAUAGGGUGCCACCCUGGUCAAACGUAGUGCACUAUAUAGGGAAUAGGGUGCCAACCUGGUCAAACGUAGUGCACUAUAUAGGGAAUAGGGUGCCACCCUGGUUAAAAGUAGUGCACUAUACAGGGAAUAGGGUACCACCCUGGUCAAACGUAGUGCACUAUAUAGGGAAUAGGGUACCACCCUGGUCAAACGUAGUGCACUAUACAGGGAAUAGGGUGCCACCUUGGUUAAAAGUAGUGCACUAUAUAGGGAAUAGGGUGCCACCCUGGUCAAACGUAGUGCACUAUAUAGGGAAUAGGGUGCCACCCUGGUCAAACGUAGUGCACUAUAUAGGGAAUAGGGUGCCACCCUGGUCAAACAUAGUGCACUAUACAGGGAAUAGGGUGCCACCCUGCUCAAAAGUAGUGCACUAUAUAGGGAAUAGGGUGCCACCCUGGUCAAACGUAGUGCACUAUACAGGGAAUAGGGUGCCACCCUGGUCAAAAGUAGUGCACUAUAUAGGGAAUAGGGUGCCACCCUGGUCAAACGUAGUGCACUAUAUAGGGAAUAGGGUGCCACCCUGGUCAAACGUAGUGCACUAUACAGGGAAUAGGGUGCCACCCUGGUCAAACGUAGUGCACUAUACAGGGAAUAGGGUGCCACCCUGGUCAAACGUAGUGCACUAUACAGGGAAUAGGGUGCCACCCUGGUCAAACGUAGUGCACUAUAUAGGGAAUAGGGUACCACCCUGGUCAAAAGUAGUGCACUAUAUAGGAAAUAGGGUGCCACCCUGGUCAAACGUAGUGCACUAUAUAGGGAAUAGGGUGCCACCCUGGUCAAACGUAGUGCACUAUACAGGGAAUAGGGUGCCACCCUGGUCAAACGUAGUGCACUAUACAGGGAAUAGGGUGCCACCCUGA